UUAUGCCUGAUAAAAGGGUUAAUUUGAUAGAUUAAAUAAUGAGAUUAUUUUAACU
rnacentral:tRNA from 1 species